rnacentral:rRNA from 1 species
UACGAAGGGUGCAAACGUUGCUCGGAAUUAUUGGGCGUAAAGCGCACGUAGGCGGUAUUGCAAGUCGGAUGUGAAAUCCCUCGGCUUAACCAAGGAAGUGCAUCCGAAACUGCUGUACUUGAGUACGAAAGAGGAUCGCGGAAUUCCCGGUGUAGAGGUGAAAUUCGUAGAUAUCGGGAGGAACACCAGUGGCGAAGGCGGCGAUCUGGGUCGAUACUGACGCUGAGGAGCGAAAGCGUGGGGAGCGAACAGG